rnacentral:ncRNA from 1 species
CGACGUCGAUCAGGGAGAGACCGGGCUGGCCCCGGCGCCGAAGGAGCAACCGCCCCGGAAACUCUCAGGCAGAAGGACCGAUCGACGACG